UCCCUGGUGGUCCAGUGGUUAGGACCCUGGGCUCUCACUGCCAAGAGCCCAGGUUCAACCCCUGGUCAGGGAA